UCAAACACUUUUCAUCGCGAUACCACAAAUGUGACUCUUUUCUGCCGUCUUUUUUUGCGGGUCUAAAACUUUUGUUUGCAAGUUGAAAAGUUUUGCUUGCAAGUGAAGCUGUCUCUCAGUGGGCGGUCUCUACCCACCAGGAUGAAAGGCCUUUUUCUAUUGGUCACUCUCGAUUGAAGUCACAGGUUGACCACGCCCACUACGUUUCCCCAGAAUCCCCGCCACUGCCACCGCAGUCUGACAGAAGAGUGAGCGAGGUUGUAUCAUGGCGAGCAACAGGUCGUUUACUGGGAAGAUUUGGUGUUGAUGGAGGAGGCAACAUCUUCAAGGCAAAACCUUAAGACCUCAUUCAACAUCAUCCAAUGUUGCAAUCACCCUCAGGAGGCACUUGAAGACCAGUGUCCAAUAUGCACAGGAACAUUUCCAGUGUCAGAAGUAGAACUGCCAUGCCAGCUUUUGUGGAGAAAG